GCCCAAUAGCUAGCCCGACCUCUUAAAUACAAACAAAUCCCCAUUAAUAACCCCAUACGCCCUAAGCAAAACAAAACAAAUCAUUUUCCCCUCCUAGUACGGGAGACAGAACGGAGCCCAGGCGCAAUAAAGAUAAGUACCGCAAGGGAAAGCUGAAAGAGAAAUGAAACAACCCACUUAAAGCUUAAAAAAGCAGAGAUAAAGCCUCGUACCUUUUGCAUCA
rnacentral:rRNA from 1 species